GGGGGAAAGGAGCCGCGAUCCGCUUACACAAAGUUUUGCUCGAACAAGCUGUCUUAAUGGUUCCUGCGCGGCGGCGAGGAAACCUGAUCGGCUGAACGCCAGCCGGGUGGCGGGGCAAGGAGGAGGAGGAGCAGGAACGGUGUGUGUGUGUUUGUGUAUUGCACUGGGGAGGGGGGGGGGAAGAGAGGAAAGGGGGGGAAACCCACAAACCCACACCACCCAACUCCAAAACAAGGGAGGGGGCGGUGGAAAAUGUCCUCUGCCUCCCCCACCGCCCCGAUCCCCGGCUUGGUGGCGGCGAUCAAGCAGGAAAACGUGCUGGCGGACAUGCUCUCCGGCGGCGUCGGGGCGCAGGAGAAGGCAGCCCGGGAAGGCUGCGCGCCGCCUUUCGCCAGGAAGCAGCAGGAGGAGGAAGACGACGGGGAGGACGAAGACGACGACGAGGACGAGGAGGCAGCGGCGGAGGCGGCCGACCAGGUCCUGCUCCACGCCGAGCUGCUGGUGCGCAACCAGCCCGUGCGCCACGCUGCCCUCUCCGCCGCGCCCGCCGCCUGCUCCUCGCCGUCUCCCGCCUCGCCUUGCUCGCCCUCGCCGGCGGCUCCGCUGGCUUUCUCCCCGGAGCACGUCGCGUGCGUGUGCGAGGCUCUCCAGCAAGGCGGCCACCUGGACCGGCUGGCGCGGUUCCUGUGGUCGCUGCCGCGGAGCGACCUGCUACGUGGCAACGAGAGCCUGCUGAAGGCGCGCGCGCUGGUGGCUUUCCACCAGGGUCUUUACGCGGAGCUGUACGGCAUCCUGGAGAGCCACAGCUUCGACGCCGCCAACCACGCGCUGCUGCAGGAGCUCUGGUACAAGGCGCGCUACAGCGAAGCGGAGAGGGCCCGCGGGCGGCCCCUGGGCGCCGUCGACAAGUACCGCCUGCGCAGGAAGUUCCCCUUGCCGCGGACCAUCUGGGACGGCGAGGAGACGGUGUACUGCUUCAAGGAGAGGUCGCGCAACGCGCUCAAGGAGCUCUACAAGCAGAACCGCUACCCGUCGCCCGCCGAGAAGCGCAACCUGGCCAAGGUCACCGGGCUCUCGCUCACGCAGGUCAGCAACUGGUUCAAGAACCGACGGCAGAGGGAUCGCAACCCCUCCGAGCCGCAGUCCAAGAGCGAGUCGGAUGGCAACCCCAGCACGGAAGAUGAGUCCAGCAAGGGGCAAGAGGACUUGUCUCCCCACCCGCUUGCCAGCGCCUCUGACGGAAGUGCCACCUUGAGCCUUCCUGGCCACAUUGAGCCUAUCUACAUGCAGCAGCUUGGAAACUCCAAAAUAUCUCUCAGCUCCCCUGGGGUUUUGUUGAACGGGAACUUGGUGCCCGCCAACCCGUCCCCCGUCUUCCUUAACGGCACCUCUUUCAUCCAGGGGCCCAACGGAGUCCUCCUCAACGGGCUGAACGUGGGCGCUGCCUCGCAAGCGGUGCCCUUGAAUCCGCCGAAAACGUCUCCGAGCUCUUUGAGCAACGGCAUGCCCUUGGCCGACAUGCUGGCCUCUUCGUCGGAAGACGUGAAGGACUUCAAAAUCCUCCAGACUUCCAUGUCCAACUCGGCGGCCCCGUCGACGACGACGACGACAGCAUACAGCCCCAGUUCUGCCUCUUUCUCAGGUCUGAUACCAAGCCUUGAGGUGAAGAGGGAAGAAAGCGAAGAAGCCAUCGCCUCGCAGGACGGCAGCUCCAUUGUUACCUUCACAGGCCCUGUCCAAAUAAACCAAUAUGGCGUCGUCCAGAUUCCCAAUUCGGCAACAAACGGAGGCCAACUCCUCAACGGAGGCAUCAGUUUUUCGCCGGUCCAGCUCCCUCCUGUAUCAACAGCAACUUCCCAAGGCAACUUGCCGCUAAAUCAAAGCACCCCGAGCAGCGGCACGUUUACAAGCGACUCCGCCGCGGCACAGCAAGGGAAAGUGUUUUUCAGCAACCUUCCUCCCAGCGCGGUGGUGUACACGCUCCCCAACUCCAGCCAGGCACUCGGGCCAGUCAAGCAGGAAGGCCUGGAGGCCAGCCUGGUGUUUUCUCAAGUAAUGUCCCUCGGCCAGAACCCGCAACUCCACGCAACCCUGCCUUCGGACAGCCUCUCCGGCGGGGGGCCUUCCUCGCUCGUCAACGUCACCCUGUCGCAUAACUUUUCCCUGGGCCCGCCCACUCUGAUAAACUCCGAAGAACUCGGCUCGCCCGUGUCCGAGAGCCCGCCCCUGUCAGCCCCCGCCACAAGCGGGGCGACCGUGGUUUCCAUCACCAACUCAAACUAUGCAACGCUCCAGAACUGCUCCCUCCUCGCCGGCCACGACCUGAUGUCCAUUUCGGCGACGCAGCCGGCGCUGGGGGGGAUCGGCCCGGCCAUUGGCGGCCACGUCGGACCCCACCCGUUGGCGCAAGUGCACCCCCAUUUCGCCCGGGAGCAGCGGUUGGUGCUGCAGCCGGUCACCAGCCUAAAGGAAAACUUCUUGUCCGAAGCAGAGAGCAAAUCUGCUAGCGGCUUGAUGAUGCUGGAUUCGAAAACCAAAUACGUAAUGAGCAAUAUGGUCGACGCAAUCUGCGAGGAGCUGGAGACAGACAAAAAGCAGCUGGCCAAGCUCCAGACAGUUCAAAUGGAUGAAGAUAUGCAAGACUUGUAAAUUAAUAAUAAUAAUAAUUAAUUUUUUUGGUUCAUAUUUCCAUAGAGAAGUCUCUUCCUCACAAGGCCCGAGGACGCACAGAGUGUUGUUGUUGUUUUUUCUCACCUAGUCAAGAUAUGCAUACAGAAUAACCAAAAAAAGAGAGCACAUUUUGAAGGGUCUGCUACAACGAAGUGGAAAUCUCCGUUAGGAAUAUGAGAUCGCCAUGCGUUUUUUGCAUGAACUCUGACCUUUGUUAAACUUGGUAAUGGGGCGGGGGGGGAGGGAGGUACAACAUAGCAGUCAGAUACGGGAUGGUUUGGCUUACUAAUAUAAUCCAAAUAGUUUUAUUAGACAUGCAACACUUCCAUGUAUUUUCAGAAAGUAUAUCCUCCAAAUAUUAGAUAGGAACGAGAAUUACCUUUUUGAAAAGUCUGGGUUUGGGAAGCCAGUCUCUCGCAUUUUGUUCUGGAUACUUCUGGGCAUUGACGAAGGUGGUGUUUGUUUUUAAGGAAUAUUCUAGAUGAUACCUCAUGAGCUGCUGUUACCUCCUUGGCGGAGAAGGCGCAAUGGCAAACAACUUUUUUUCUUUUCCUUUCCCUCUUUUCCUUUUUGCAUCAGAGUCCUUUUUGCAACCGAAGGUUCUGUGCCCUCAGCCUUUGUGGUUCCUGAAACGUUACAUGACUUUUUCUUUCCUUCUCUGUAAGGCCCCCGUCUGCACUAUAUGUGUAUUGAAAGCCCUCUUACACCACUUUUAAACAGCCAUCGCUUCCCCACAAGAAUGCUGGAUACUGUGGGGGUUUAUUUUUAAAAAGUUGCUGCGUAAAGCUGUGAUUCCCAGCAUAAUCAACCCCUCUCCCUAGGAACUCUGAGCAACUUCAACAAAUCGCAGUUCCCAGGUAUGCUGCUGCUUUAAAUGUAUAAUGCAGAUUGCGCCUUAGGUAGGAUUAACCAACAUGGUGCCUUCCAAAUUCUGCUAAACUACAGCUCCCAUCAUCCCAGAUCAUUGGCCAUGCUGGGUGGGAAUGAUGGGAGUUGGAGUCUUAAAACACACACACACCCUAGAGGGGCACCAUAUUGACAACUCCUGCUCUAAGAAUUUGGAAUCAGUGCUGUGGAAGAAAAAGUCCGUUUUGCAACUUGAAAUCAUGCAACGUAGAAUCCUCCGCCCCACUAUUUAUGUAAAUAUUGUUUUAAUUGCUCCAAAAGGGACGCCUCUUUUUAUUAGUAUGUUGGGUUGUAUUUAUAGCUGCUGGUGUCCCAUUUAUCAUUUUUAGACAUGUUUAGAACAGUUUUUACAACUGCUUAAUUUAUUUUUGAUAUUUUUGAACAGGAUGUCACUUCUGACCAUUUUAAAAACCUUCCCCGCCCCCUUUUGCUAGGGCUUGCAUCAAUUGGUGGUGGUGUUUUAAAAAAAUGUUUUUCAGACUGAUUUAGACAAAAGGUUAAACUUUCUGAUGUUGGAAUAUAAACGGAUGCAAUUCGGAGAGUCUGGGACAUUUCCCUCCUGGCACCGCUUCUGCCCUGUGAAUUUGUGUUUUCUUCUUUAAAGUAAUAUUACAAGGUUCAUGUAUUUUUCUAAAGAAGAAGAAUCCCGCGUGCCUUUUUGCCUAGUGGCCUUACAUCUUUGUGACAACAAGCACAGCUAAUGUACAAAAUGUGAACUCUGUUCUGCAGCAGUCUAACCUGAUUUAUCUUAUUUAUCUGCGCAGUCCCCUUGAAACUAGUGCCGGUGCUCUGAUAAAUAUGGAAAUUGUGAUUGGUUACUUGGGGUGAAAUUGCCCCCUUGGUGCACAAAGAGAACAGAUUAAACCAUUUGAAACUGGAUAACUCUACCCCAACCACCCCAUACUGCCCAUUCUUCUUACUUUACUUUUUGGAGUUGCAGUGAUUUUGGCAAAAGGGGAUUUUGGAAUAUAAACCUUGAUGUCUGCUUCCCAGUUUUAAUUUGGGGGGGGGGGGCGGAUCCCUAUGUCUGUGAAAGAAGGAUUCCACUAGAUUGAACUCAGCUGGUAAUCUCCUCUUUGGCCCACAUUAUCCUGGAUCUACCUUUGAUCUAGAAUAAGCAGCCCCUUAACGUUACUCAGAAAUAGAAUUGUUGUAGUGCCAUUUGCAACAUAUACAGGGAGGCUUGGAAUCUCAGCCUGGCCAAAUAUUUGAUCCCAUUUGCUUUUUGUCUGCGUGCAAUAAAGUCAACAACAAGCACGUCUUUAAUAACUCUGAAGAUGACGGCAAAGGAUUUGUUUGCACAUUUUACUUUUUUGAAACAAUAAACUCGAAGGGCAUUUCCGCAUGCGAUGCUUAAACCUUGCUUUAAAUUUCUCUCAGCUUCCUCUUCCGCCGUGGUCCCAACCUGCAUUAACUGCAUCCAUCGCUUGUGACAUGAACUGCAAGGGAGAUGCUCAGAAGUCCCUUGUAGAGCGAGUCUGUGAGAGUGAUAAGGGGAGAAAUCUAACUGCAGUCCUAUGGUUCUCGUCCCUCCCCUUCUGUUGCAGAGCUAGGCAAUGCUAGCAGAGGGGCUCUUUGUUUUUAUCUCACGAGCAGGUCUCCAGAAAACCAUUAUAUGGCCUUUAUUUGCAGUGGACAAACAACUUGACCUGAUCUGUAAUUGGCCUAGUAUCGGCUUGUUUACUGGGCAAAUGGUAGUAUGAGCAAACAGAACCUGGUCAGGAGAGCUUUUGCGAAACCAUAAUUGCUAUCGGGGCGUUGGAGAAAGUGUUUAUGGUCCCCCACCAUCCUCAGGGCAGCUGGAACUGGUGCAAAUUCCCCUCCUUUACCUGUGGGAUUCCUGGACUUGGUGAAUGCAGCCAGUGGAAGGCAAGCAGGGCACUAGCCCAGUAAGCUCAGUCUGCCUAAUUUGUCGCACUUACAACCCGUUAGUGUCUUAAUACAGGGCUUCCCAAACUUGGGUCUCCUGCUGUUAUUGGACUACAACUCCCAUCAUCGCUAGCUAGGAGGACCAGUGGUCAGGGAUGAUAGGAACUGUAGUCCAAAAACAGCUACUGCAUGUGCAGAGGAGGGCAACCAAGGUGACCAGGGGCCUGGAAACCAAGCCUUAUGAGGAAUGGUCGAAGGAGCUGGGAAAAGAGGAGGCUGAGAGGAGACAGGAUAGCCAUCUUCAGAUAACUUGAGGGUUGCCAUGGGAAGGAUGGAACAAGCUUGUUUUCUCCUGCUCCGAAGGGUGGGACUCGAACCCAUGGAUUCAAUUUACAAGAAAGGAGAUUCCGACCAAACAUCAGGAAGAACUUUCUGAUGGUAAGAGCUGUUUGACCGUGGAACAGACUCCCACGAGAGGUUGUGGACUCUCAUUUCUUGGAGGCUUUUAAGCAGAUGUUGG